GAUGAACGCUGGCGGCGUGCCUAAUACAUGCAAGUCGAGCGAACAGACGAGGAGCUUGCUCCUCUGACGUUAGCGGCGGACGGGUGAGUAAUACGUGGAUAACCUACCUAUAAGACUGGGAUAACUUCGGGAAACCGGAGCUAAUACCGGAUAAUAUAUUGAACCGCAUGGUUCAAUAGUGAAAGACGGUUUUGCUGUCACUUAUAGAUGGAUCCGCGCCGCAUUAGCUAGUUGGUAAGGUAACGGCUUACCAAGGCAACGAUGCGUAGCCGACCUGAGAGGGUGAUCGGCCACACUGGAACUGAGACAGGGUCCAGACUCCUACGGGAGGCAGCAGUAGGGAAUCUUCCGCAAUGGGCGAAAGCCUGACGGAGCAACGCCGCGUGAGUGAUGAAGGUCUUCGGAUCGUAAAACUCUGUUAUUAGGGAAGAACAAAUGUGUAAGUAACUAUGCACGUCUUGACGGUACCUAAUCAGAAAGCCACGGCUAACUACGUG
rnacentral:rRNA from 1 species